rnacentral:rRNA from 1 species
GCCAGACUCCUACGGGAGGCAGCAGUGAGGAAUAUUGGUCAAUGGACGAGAGUCUGAACCAGCCAAGUAGCGUGAGGGAAGACUGCCCUAUGGGUUGUAAACCUCUUUUGUCAGGGAGCAAUUGGCGCUACGUGUAGCGUUAUCGAGAGUACCUGAAGAAAAAGCAUCGGCUAACUCCGUGCCAGCAGCCGCGGUAAUACGGAGGAUGCGAGCGUUAUCCGGAUUUAUUGGGUUUAAAGGGUGCGUAGGCGGAAUGCCAAGUCAGCGGUAAAAUCGCGGGGCUCAACCUCGCUCCGCCGUUGAAACUGGCGCUCUUGAGUGGGCGAGAAGUAUGCGGAAUGCGUGGUGUAGCGGUGAAAUGCAUAGAUAUCACGCAGAACUCCGAUUGCGAAGGCAGCAUACCGGCGCCCAACUGACGCUGAAGCACGAAAGCGUGGGUAUCGAACAGGAUUAGAUACCCCCGUA